GUGUGCGUGUGACUUAUUUUUGCCUUCAAUCUGUAGCCACAUGGCUGUGUUCCCUUUCUGUUUGUUUUCCCACUUCCCUUCUAAAUAUUUUGCAUCAUCUGGGAGACUUUGCCAGGCUGAGGUCCGCUCCCUGGAGGACCGCAUUCCUCUGAUCUGUGGCAUUAGGUUGUUGCCAUGGCAAAGGCUGCCUACCAGGAGGAACACUUCUCAGAUGGGCAAUUCCGACCUCGUUUCUUCCUCUCCUCCGCAUACUUGGUUAUUCUGACGCCCACACCGGCCCGGGCUUUCUCUAAUCGUAAACUAUGUUCCUGGAACGUGAACUUUAUUCUGUUUGCCUUUCAAGAUACAGAACUAUUUGGCUCUGUUUAUUUUUGUUCCAAGUGGGCAGGACCCUCUUGCCUGUUGUGACUAAUCCACUUGUCAGGGCUGGAAUCUCCUAACAGUUCCUCCAGGCAAUGAAGCUACUUAAGUCUGGAAUUUACCAAUUUCAUGGAAAAAUCUAAGAUCUUUGAAAUAAAAAUAAAGAACUGAUCCAUUACUUGUGGAAAGACGGAUUCCUCUUGCCAUUAUUCUUUAAGGCUGGCCUGGCUACUUCCCAAAAUAGACUCAGAGCGCCAAGGAAGCAGAGAGAGAGACGAGCAAGGUCUGUUGAAGCCCAAACCUGGAGCUGACACUAGCCCAUUCAAUACCUCAAGUUGGGCCAAGGAAAUAACAGCAGUACAGACAAAGGGGAGGACGAUGGAUUGCAUUUUUAGUGGGAAGGACUGCAAAGAGCUAUGGAAUUCUUGUAAUUAACCAGUAAAGAGACAUGCGCCAAUCCCCCCACCCUGAUCCAUGACACUCUCUAGUCAGUAGUUCAUGUUGAGAACCUAACCCAGCUUUGAAAAGGAAAAUAAUUAAAUCCAGUAAUGUAGCAUACCCCAGGUAACUGAGCUGUAAAGAAGUAUUUCUUUGUGUCCAGCAAAGCACCAGCUAGCAAUAAUUUGCUUAAGUAUGUCAUCAAACAAUUCUUGAUGAUCCCAUCAGGUGCUUAGUAAGCGGUGUGAUGAUCUCUGCAGUUUUCUUCCCUGUACACUGAGUUUUGAUGAUGAUGGAAUUGAUGAUAAUUGUUUGUUUUCUAUGUGUAGGCUACAGUCACAGUGUGUUAAAAUGUUAGCUUCAUUUAUAUUCUUACGCUCUGUCUACCGGCACUCUCAGUUGAGGAUGAGGAUAUAUAUGGUAACGUUUAGACUCUAUACUUCAGAGUGUUCAGUAACUUCAUCAGUUAUGCACCUAGAGGGAGUGAGCACCAAGAACAAACUGAAGGAUACACUAAAAACCCUGAUACAAUUCUGGGUCUCUGGACAUUUAUUUAUUAGGGCUAAGAGCCACCUAAGCAUCCUUAACAGAGAAUUCAGAAAAGUCUGCAAUUACAGAGCACUAUCAGCAUCCCACGGACUGGUUUAUCAAAACUAAAGACGUGGGGGGAAACCUGUGCAAAUUAACAAGCAAGUGUCAGAGCUGGGAUUUAAAUGUGCGUGUGGAAACACUAAGCUCUGUAUUGCUUCCCUUAAACCUCUGUGUUACAGCAGAGUAUGGCAGUGGUCAAUGCCCUCUGACUGAAUUCAUCUGGUUCUUAGAAGUUACACAAAGUAACAGUUCUAUUGCCUUGUGUUUGGCAUCUUAAGAAUGUGGAGUUGGAGUAAAUAUGUUUUAUCUCCCCUUCCCUUACAUUGGACCUAUUUCCUUUUGGACACUUGUAUCCUAUUGGCACUGACAUAUUUUAACACUUGCACUAUGGCCUGAACACUUCUGUAACAAACUUUGAAUUUGUUGUAGUAUUUAAUAGGACACCCUUUGUAGCCUACUUUCCAAAGAAUCUCAUGCACUUCGGCAUUUUCCACAGAAGUACGCUCUACAUUUCUUCACGCAACAUGGAAGGAACGUGGACUGGCUGAGAGGAAUUUGGAAAGAUCUAUGUCUCAUAGUUAGCAGAACAGUGCCUGGAUUAAAAGCUGGACCUCUGAAAAAUCAAUAAAGACAGACUGCAAAGGUCACAACCCUCUAGAAGACCCAGAGACUAUCUGAUUUGAAAGAGCAUUCGUCAGUACUUGCCUGGGAUCUACUGCAGUACAGAUUCUCAACAUAGGAAACAUUUUCAGAAAUGAACUCUCAAGUCCGUAUUCACCAGUCCCACUACUGUACACAUUAAAAUGCCAUUCCAAUGUUGAAUUAAAGAUACAUCACUGCCAUCACCUA
rnacentral:lncRNA from 1 species